UUUUUUUUUUUUCAGGCACAUUAAGAAAGUAAUUGCAGUGCUUGUAAGUGUUAACACAGAAGCAAAUUGGCUGGCAUAAGCCUGGUUUCAUAACUUAUCUGUAAAUACAAAAAAAAAAUGCUCUAAAUUUGAAUUUACAAGGAACAGAUGUCUUUCCGCAAGCUUGAGUGUAAAUUCAGCAGGAUUUCCAAUUUAAUCCAGGAUAUAAUGACACUGAAAUGUAUUGCAAACAGGAAUGACUUGUUUCUCCUGUAGCACUGCGGGCUGUGGACUGCAUGCUGUACAGAACAGCACAAGGUGUUGCACACCGCAGGUUUCCAGGGAGACAGUCACAAUCCAGUAGGGGUUACUGUUGUUCUUAAUAAAGCACUGUAGAUUUUGUGGUUUUAGCAAAUUUUCUGAUCAAAAUCACAGAUACCAGAUAGCAUUUGAUAAAUGACACCAAGUAACAUGAUUUAACCUAUUUCAAACAAGCACGUAUGAUGCUGCAGUGUGCGAGCUUACAGCAGAUGAUGAAGGGGUUUCCAACAGCUCAAAUUGCCAUUUUAACCACUAAGAAAAGACUUCAAAUGGAGUAUUAGAUGCUACAGACUGACCCUAUCACCUAGCAGUUGAUACAGCAGCCAAGGGAGGGUCUUUGAUAGAACUGCAAAACAGAGAAGUGUGGUAAAGCCAAAAGCCUUGUGUAGUAUCAGCUGUUUCUGCACACACAGGGAAAUGAUUUGGCAAUGGUAAUGAUGCUGAAGCAGAGGAAACCCUGUUUCUUUCAGAAGUUCCAAGUUAUUUAGGUUUAUUCAGAGUUUUAUUUUGUUGGAGCUGUAGCCAGCUACCACAUCAGCAUAUAACCUAGCUCAGUGGCAAAUACCAGUACUAAGAUGUGCUAUACAUUCCCUUUCCAUUACCACUGUGCUGCGCUCCAUGCCUCGCAGGCACACCUUGAGCAGUAGUUGUUCUCUCCUUCCCUCCCAAGGGGAGCGUGCACUGUCCAAGGGAUGGCCUCCACUGUAUGUUAUGGUGAGAAGCCACAGGCAAGUUCAAGCACCUUAUACUUAACACAGAAGGCUGAUUAGCUGUGUGAUAUUCCCUAAUUCCUGGAGGAAUAAGUUCCUUUGGAAAGCCUGCUGCUUUUUUGGAGAAUGUUUUUUCUCCUGUGCAAAAAGCCUUUUGUCUGCAUCAGGAGGAAGAGUUCAGUGAGACACAUUCUUCUCCUCUUUGAUUUAGUCCUAAGUGUUCAUCUUUCCAUAGGAAUAUAGCGGUCUUAAGGUUUUCUUUCGCAUUGAAAAACAGAAUAUAAGCUGCUCAUAAAUUUGAUGAGGCCCAUAGGAAAAUAGUUGUUUAGAAACAGUGAAAAAAUAUGGAAUGCUAAGCUUUGUACUGUGCUGGGCCAUACCCAGAGCUACCAUCUCCCACAGGCUGUGUGCCGCCCUCCUCCCACCAAAACCACUCUCCCUACCUGCCAAACCCUUAUCUCGGGUUGAAGGAGACAGGGAGUCUCUAGCUCAAAGCUGCCAGCCAGCCACUUCUCCCCUUGUGUUGGUGCUGCAGUGCCAUUGCACACAGAGGGCUUAUUCCCAACUGUGGUUGCAGCUUACCAGAGCACCUCACACUACCUAAGCCUGCCCUGUGAGCCAGUUGGUAUCUCAGCCACACAAGCUUAACACCUCCUGCCCACACAGUAUUUGAACCUCAGGACCAUUCCCAUGUCCUUCUGCAUCAGCUAAAAUUCAACAUGUGCUAAUCCAAGCUUUGCAGCCUCCUGAGGUGUACAAGGAGAGCAAGGGUAGACAAGAUGUGCAGGCAACUUCAUUACCUCGGGAACUGCUCUAACUUUCUUUAAAAUAAAAGGGGAAAACAUCCCCAUCCCACACCCUUUUGUUCUUCGUAUCUUCAUCUCAUAAGGACACAAGUUAAAUAAAACUCAUUUUAUACAUUUUCAAAUUUUAUACAGAAUCAUUAACGUGGAAAAGAUCUCUAAGACCACCUAAUCCAACCCCAACACCUACCAUGCCCACUAACAGCGUCCCUCAGCGCCACAUCCACGCGGUUCUUGAAUACCUCCAGGAUGGUGACUCCACUACCUCCCUGGGCAGCCCGUGCCACUGCCUCACCACUCUUUCUGAGAAUAUCAACACACUUGUGUGUGUAUAUACAUAUACACACACUUACAUGACACAUUUUAAAAUGUAUUUUUACUGGUUUUAUGUAUGUAUGAAAACACAUGCUUCCUAUCCUCAGGUGGGGCUGGACACGCAAUCCCUUUCCUGGGAGAAAAUAAUAUUUCAGUUUUAUGUUCAGGCUUCUGUGGUUUUUUUGUUGUUGUUGUUGUUUGUUUGUUUAGGAAAAGAAAUAAUAAAUCUUAAGCCUUAAAGCUCAUUAUUGCAGUAAAGUUUUGUAAUAACCGUUUCUGAGAACAGGAAUGGUAGCGCAGGUUCACAUGGCAACUUUUAGCAUCUAUUAUAUCUUGUGAGUAGCUUUAGAAUUCGUAACUUGUAAAACAGUCAGAGAGAAGCCUAUCCUGGAUGACUAGUUUAGCACAAAACACUCCCUUGCCUCCUCUUGGUUUUUAUUGCUUCUUCAGCACCGAGAUGCUGCCAAUAUUUUGACAUUUUUUUCCUCCUAAAAGUCUGCGUAGCUCUGUCUGACUGUGUGCCUUCAGAGAAAAAGAGCAAGGGAUUGGGAUAUUCUUGCAUUUUCUUGUCAAAACAAAGACAGGAUAAUUACCAGGAAACAAUACAAUUUGCCAGUAGGAGAGCAGGUAUGCCUGAUAGGAGUAUUUAUGCUUGGAGGAAGAGUAUCAGCAUGGAUACUGCUUUAUUUGGGCAUAGCAUUUUGUAACUGGAAAGCGUGAGUUUCAGUUUUCAAGUGUGACAGAGGAGCAAGGUACCCAUUUCCAAAGGUAUUUCAAGAUGCAGCAUUGCUCUCACCCUGUAUUACCCUGGUGCCGGGAGGUAGAGGAUAGGACUCUGCAUGAAACCAACGCUUUAGAGCUCUCUAGAGCCACCCAAGGCUGCCCCACAAAUAGUGUGGGUCAUCCUUCAUCUGGGGCCAGCACACUGGCUCUGUGAUGCCAGUGACCCCUUAUGGCCAGAAAUCCUGGCUUUGUAGCUAUCUUGGACAGCAAAUAGAGCAACUGUGGGGGCGGAUCAGGUCUCCAUCCUUAUUCUGAAAGGACAAAAAACGUCAGAUUCCUUACGGGGCCGGGGGCACUCCAGCAAGGAGAAUAGGAGCUUCAGAGAUAUCAUCCUGAACCCUGGGGGUAAAUCACACUUGGUAAAGAUCACUUCAGUUUGCUCAGGGAGGCAGAUCUCUAGCGAUAACAGGAAAAGCGUUCAUAAAGUUUUUUUUUUUUUUUUUAUUUUUUUAAAAAACAAGGCUGCUUUCUGUAAUCCCUUCAGCCCAUCAAUUGACAGUUUCUGGGUGGCACAAACUAAUGCAGUUUGCCUUU
rnacentral:lncRNA from 1 species